UACGUAGGGGGCUAGCGUUAUCCGGAAUUACUGGGCGUAAAGGGUGCGUAGGUGGUUUCUUAAGUCAGAGGUGAAAGGCUACGGCUCAACCGUAGUAAGCCUUUGAAACUGGGAAACUUGAGUGCAGGAGAGGAGAGUGGAAUUCCUAGUGUAGCGGUGAAAUGCGUAGAUAUUAGGAGGAACACCAGUUGCGAAGGCGGCUCUCUGGACUGUAACUGACACUGAGGCACGAAAGCGUGGGGAGCAAACAGGAUUAGAUACCCCUGUAGUCCCUGAG
rnacentral:rRNA from 1 species